AUUGAACGCUGGCGGCAUGCUUUACACAUGCAAGUCGAACGGUAACAGGUCUUCGGAUGCUGACGAGUGGCGGACGGGUGAGUAAUGCAUCGGAACGUGCCCAGUCGUGGGGGAUAACGCAGCGAAAGCUGCGCUAAUACCGCAUACGAUCUAUGGAUGAAAGCGGGGGACCGUAAGGCCUCGCGCGAUUGGAGCGGCCGAUAUCAGAUUAGCUAGUUGGUGAGGUAAAGGCUCACCAAGGCGACGAUCUGUAGCUGGUCUGAGAGGACGACCAGCCACACUGGAACUGAGACACGGUCCAGACUCCUACGGGAGGCAGCAGUGGGGAAUUUUGGACAAUGGGCGCAAGCCUGAUCCAGCAAUGCCGCGUGCAGGAAGAAGGCCUUCGGGUUGUAAACUGCUUUUGUACGGAACGAAACGGUCCUGGUUAAUACCUGGGGCUAAUGACGGUACCGUAAGAAUAAGCACCGGCUAACUACGUGCCAGCAGCCGAAGUAACAC
rnacentral:rRNA from 1 species